rnacentral:rRNA from 1 species
GACGAACGCUGGCGGCGUGCUUAACACAUGCAAGUCGAACGGAAAGGCCUCUUUCGGGGGGUACUCGAGUGGCGAACGGGUGAGUAACACGUGAGUAACCUGCCCUUGACUUUGGGAUAACUUCAGGAAACUGGGGCUAAUACCGGAUAGGAGCUCCUGCUGCAUGGUGGGGGUUGGAAAGUUUCGGCGGUUGGGGAUGGACUCGCGGCCUAUCAGCUUGUUGGUGGGGUAGUGGCUUACCAAGGCUUUGACGGGUAGCCGGCCUGAGAGGGUGACCGGCCACAUUGGGACUGAGAUACGACCCAGACUCCUACGGGAGGCAGCAGUGGGGAAUAUUGCACAAUGGGUGGAAGCCUGAUGCAGCAACGCCGUGUGCGGGAUGACGGCCUUCGGGUUGUAAACCGCUUUCGCUCAUGACGAAGCUUUGUGUGACGGUAGUGGGUAAAGAAGCACCGGCUAACUACGUG